rnacentral:rRNA from 1 species
GAUGAACGCUGGCGGCGUGCCUAAUACAUGCAAGUCGAGCGAAUGGAUUAAGAGCUUGCUCUUAUGAAGUUAGCGGCGGACGGGUGAGUAACACGUGGGUAACCUGCCCAUAAGACUGGGAUAACUCCGGGAAACCGGGGCUAAUACCGGAUAACAUUUUGAACCGCAUGGUUCGAAAUUGAAAGGCGGCUUCGGCUGUCACAUAUGGAUGGACCCGCGUCGCAUUAGCUAGUUGGUGAGGUAACGGCUCACCAAGGCAACGAUGCGUAGCCGACCUGAGAGGGUGAUCGGCCACACUGGGACUGAGACACGGCCCAGACUCCUGCGGGAGGCAGCAGUAGGGAAUCUUCCGCAAUGGACGAAAGUCUGACGGAGCAACGCCGCGUGAGUGAUGCAGGCUUUCGGGUCGUAAAACUCUGUUGUUAGGGAAGAACAAGUGCUAGUUGAAUAAGCUGGCACCUUGACAGUACCUAACCAGAAAGCCACGGCUAACUACGUGCCAGCCGCCGCGGUAA